rnacentral:lncRNA from 1 species
UAAUUUCGAAGGGACAUAAAAAAGGAGAUGAAGAGAAGAAACACUUGUCAACACAAGUCAAAAGGGGAGAGAGAAGAAAGGUAUUCGAAGUUUCAAAAUACUUUUAUGUGUAGCGAAUUAACUAGGCGAGCUCUCCUUUUAUAGUAAAAGUUUGUAACAAAUCUAGAGAAACUUAAGAAUUAAGUAAACUUAUAAACUAAGCAACCCACAUAUCAGCCCAAGUAACAAAGAGAUCAGAUAAGCUCAAAAGAGAAACAAACUAAUUGGAUAUGAAUGAAGGAAAUAUAGAAAACUACGUUGGAUUCUAAAUCUUAUC